CGCUCUUGGUCUCCACCGAAUCAACAAAUUUCUCCUCACUCUCCUCUCACAGAAAUCCAAAAACCAAAGAGACAGAGAUACGUUUCCUGCUCAAAAUCUCAAACUUGCUACUGCUCAGUUUAUUGCUUUGAGGUGUCGUUGAUCGAUCGACUUUAGUUCAAUCUUGAAUCUCUAAUUGCUAGCCGGGUUCAAAUCUUCUUCAUUUGCUUCUGAGAUCAACAUCAGAGCCAACCCAGACUCGAUUACAGAAUUCAUCAGUUGAGGUUAUAAGUGGCUGCCCUCCAACUCCACCGAACAUGAGUUGUAAUUUGUAAGACCGCUAUGGCAUGGCAAGCUGGGCCAACUGAGACUGCAAGUUAUCCCAAGUAAGAGGGAACUAAUCAACAUGAAAAAGGCUUCUAGAGACCUAAUGAUUCAGAUGGCAAGGCUAGGCUACAAUGAACUCAGUGCUUGCAAAUGAUUAUAGACUAUAAACUGGGUGUACUGUUAUAUUCUAUCAAUUUUGUACUAUUGCUUUGUGUCUUCAAUGAAGUCGGUGCUUGCAAA